rnacentral:misc_RNA from 1 species
GAUGAAGAACGCAGCGAAGUGCGAUAAGUAAUGUGAAUUGCAGAAUUCAGUGAAUCAUCGAAUCUUUGAACGCACAUUGCGCCCGCCAGUAUUCUGGCGGGCAUGCCUGUUCGAGCGUCAUUUCAACCAUCAAGCCCCCGGGCUUGUGUUGGGGACCUGCGGCUGCCGCAGGCCCUGAAAAGCAGUGGCGGGCUCGCUGUCACACCGAGCGUAGUAGAUUUUAUCUCGCUCUGGGCGUGCUGCGGGUUCCGGCCGUUAAACCACCCUUUUAACCCAAGGUUGACCUCGGAUCAGGUAGGAAGACCCGCUGAACUUAAGCAUAUCAAUAAGCGGAGGA